rnacentral:rRNA from 1 species
GACGAACGCUGGCGGCGUGCUUAACACAUGCAAGUCGAACGGAAAGGCCCUGCUUUUGUUGGGUGCUCGAGUGGCGAACGGGUGAGUAACACGUGAGUAACCUGCCCUUGACUGUGGGAUAACUUCAGGAAACUGGGGCUAAUACCGGAUAGGAGCUCUUGAUGCAUGGUGGGGGUUGGAAAGUUUCGGUCGUUGGGGAUGGUAUCGGGGCUUAUCAGCUUGUUGGGGGGGUAGUGGCUUACCAAGGCUUUGACGGGUAGCCGGCCUGAGAGGGGGACCGGCGACAAUAGGACUGAGGUACGGACCAGACUGCUACGGGACGCAGUGGUGGGAAAUAUUGCACAAUGGGCGGAAGCCUGAUGCAGCAACGCCGCGUGCGGGAUGACGGCUUUCGGGUUGUAAACCGCUUUCUCCUGUGACGAAGCGUGAGUGACGGUAAUGGGUAAAGAAGCACCGGCUAACUACGUG